rnacentral:rRNA from 1 species
CAGCCGCCACGGUAAUACGUAGGUGGCAAGCGUUGUCCGGAAUUAUCGGGCGUAAAGGGCUCGCAGGCGGUUUCUUAAGUCUGAUGUGAAAGCCCCCGGCUCAACCGGGGAGGGUCAUUGGAAACUGGGAAACUUGAGUGCAGAAGAGGAGAGUGGAAUUCCACGUGUAGCGGUGAAAUGCGUAGAGAUGUGGAGGAACACCAGUGGCGAAGGCGACUCUCUGGUCUGUAACUGGCGCUGAGGAGCGAAAGCGUGGGGAGCGAACAGGAUUAGAUACCCCUGUAGUCCCUGUCUCUUAUAC